rnacentral:ncRNA from 3 species
UGUGGGAGCGAGCUUGCUCGCGAAGGCGUCGUGUCAGCCAACUUCUAAAUCACUGACCCACCGCUUUCGCGAGCAAGCUCGCUCCCACA